GGAGAGGUGGCAGAGUGGCCGAUUGCACUUCCUUGCUAAGGAAGCGUCCUCGCAAGGGGACCGUGGGUUCGAAUCCCACCCUCUCCGCCA
rnacentral:tRNA from 1 species